CCUACGGGGGGCAGCAGUGGGGAAUAUUGGACAAUGGGCGAAAGCCUGAUCCAGCCAUGCCGCGUGUGUGAAGAAGGCCUUCGGGUUGUAAAGCACUUUCAGUGGGGAAGAAAGCCUUGGGGCUAAUACCCUCGAGGAAGGACAUCACCCACAGAAGAAGCACCGGCUAACUCCGUGCCAGCAGCCGCGGUAAUACGGAGGGUGCGAGCGUUAAUCGGAAUUACUGGGCGUAAAGCGCGCGUAGGCGGUCUGAUAAGCCGGUUGUGAAAGCCCCGGGCUCAACCUGGGAACGGCAUCCGGAACUGUCAGGCUAGAGUGCAGGAGAGGAAGGUAGAAUUCCCGGUGUAGCGGUGAAAUGCGUAGAGAUCGGGAGGAAUACCAGUGGCGAAGGCGGCCUUCUGGACUGACACUGACGCUGAGGUGCGAAAGCGUGGGUAGCAAACAGGACUAGAUACCCGAGUAGUC
rnacentral:rRNA from 1 species